CGGCCGCAUCGACCACCAGGGUCGCCGUCCGUUCUGGACGUAUGCACACGUCCCGUCGGGUUCGACCCUCGAUGCGACCGA
rnacentral:tRNA from 1 species